rnacentral:ncRNA from 1 species
AUUGGUAUCGUAACAGUAAUUGAAGUUAGUACGAGAGGAACCCUUCAUUCAGAUAAUUGGUAUUUGCGGCUGKUUGAAAGGCCAAUGCCGCGAAGCUACCAUCUGCUGGAUAMUGGCUGAACGCCUCUAMGUCAGMAUCCAUGCUGGAMACGAUACUGCURUGUUUUGAUCGUACCAGAUGAGUACAAAUAAAGCUUCGGCUUGAAAACCAUAUUUGUAGGUUAGGUUUAGUUACGGAAAUGUGGCUAGAUCUACUUACUGAUGAUAAUGCUAAUACAUCAAAAUGAUAAAUCGCAUGCAGACGACAUGAAAUGGACGGGGUAUUGUAAGUACUAGAG